CAAAAGACAGUUACCAUUUUCCGUAACUGGUGUUCUGAGUUGAAUGGACAUGAGCAACACAUCUCAAAGAUGUGUGCAUUCGCCACAUGCACUGGUACCGGAAGUUUUUCCCUCAACAGUAUCCGUAGGGAACCGACUCCAGCGCUAGUGAGAGUGGCGCACAUAUGCUGUGGCAUAUAGGGCGCCGUCGGCUCCCCCCACCCUCAGUUCCUUCUUGCCAGAAACUCUGACAGUGGGGGAAGGAGGGUGGGUUGUGGAAUGGACAUGAGCAACACAUCUCGAAGAACACCAGUUACAGAAAAAGGUAACUGUCUUUUCUUCUUCAAGUGAUUGCUCAUGUCCAUUCAACUUAGGUGACUCCCAGCAGUACCCCGGAGGCGAGUAAGGAGUUCACGGACAUGUAGAUUGCAAUACAGCUCUGCGGAACCCAGCAUCAUCCCUGUCCUGCUGUGUGAUUGCAUAGUGGGCCGUGAACAUGUGCACCGAGGACCACAUUGCGGCUCCACAGAUGUCCUGGAUCGGGAAGCGUGCCAGGAAGGCCACCAAAGAUACCUGCGCUCUGGUUGAGUGGGCUCUGACUAUCAGCGGUGUAGGGACUACCACUAACUCGUAGCAGGUCCAAAUGCAGGAGGUGAUCCAGUUAGAAAUCCUUGCGUGGACACUGGGAGGCCCUUUAUCCUAUCAGCUGAGAUGAAAAGCUGAGUCGAUUUACAGAAAGGUUUUGUCCAAUCUAGAUAGAAAGCCAGAGCCCUUCUUACGUCCAAAGCGUGAAGGCGCUUCUCUUCACUGGUCUCAUGGGACUUAAGGCAGAAGACCAGAAGGAAGAUGUCCUGGCUCAUGUGGAAAGUGGACACCAUGUUGGGAAGAAAAGCUGGGUGGGGCCAGAGCUGGACCUUGUCCUUAUAGAAGACCGUGUAUGGUGCUUCUGAAGUCAGGGCUCGCAGCUUGGAGACUCGCCUCGUCAAUGCCACCGCCACCAGGAAAGCUCCCUUCCAUGAUAGGUGAGAUAGGGAGCAUGAGGUCAAAGGCUCAAAGGGCGGACCCAGGAGCCUGGACAGAAUCAAGUUGAGAUCCCACUGAGAGGCUGGGGACCGGACUUGAGGAAAGAGUCUCUCGAGGCCUCUAAGGAAUCUGACUGUCAUGUCAUGGGAGAACACAGUCUGCCCCUGGAUUGGCGGAUGAAAGGCUGAAAUGACCACCAGAUACACCCUGAUAGAGGAGUGCACCAGGCCCUGGUUCCUUAAAUGAAUCAGGUAGUCCGAGAUUGACUGCACUGAAGAAUGCAAAGGAGAGAUACCCCAUUCGGCCUCCCAGUGGGAGAACCUUGUCCACUUUGCCAGGACUUUGCUGAUGAGCAGAAUCGGAGGGAAUGCGUACAUCAGGCUUCCUGCCAAUGGCAGGAGGAAGGCAUCCAAGAGGGAGCCCUUACCCAGACCCCGUCUGGAGCAAAACCUGUGGCACCUCCUGUUCUGCCUAGUGGAAGAUCUUGCUGGCUACCUCCAGGUGGAGAAGUUCCUACUUAGGUGAUCUGCUAGUGUGUUCCUGGCCCCCUGGAAGGUGACACACUUCUAGAUGGAUUCCAUGGUCGAUGCAGACAUCCGAGAGACAGAGUGCCUCUUGGCAAAGGGCUGAGGAUCGCGCUCCGCCUUGCCUGUUGAUGUAGAACAUCGAGGCUGUGUUGUCUGUGAGAACUGCUUGACAGGUGAGGUAGGAAGACCGUACACGCUCUGUACACUGCCCUGAGCUCUUUGACAUUUAUGUGUCGCGUUGACUCCUCUGGGGAUCACAUGCCUUGGGCCUGGAGGGUGCUGAGGUGCACCCCCCAUCCGAGGUCCGAGGCGUCCAAAACCAACUCGACUGAGUGAGGAAUGCUGACGAAGGGAACUCCUUCCAGGACUUUCCUGGGGUGAGUCCACCAUCGCAGGGAGGUAAGUACAGUUGCGGGGAUGGUGAUGACCUUCUCCAGGUGGUCCCUGGACUGGGAGUAGGCCAUUGCUGCAGGAGUCGCAUCCGGAGCCUGGCACGGUGUACCACAUAUGCACACGCCACCAUGUGACCUAGUAUGCAUAGGCAAAUCCUGGCCAUGGUCAGGGGAAACGCGGAGACAUCUGCGAUGAGGUCUGUCAGUGCUCUGAAUCUCUCCAGCCGCAGGAACGCCCUUGCGCAGGUCGAGUGUAGCACCACUCCGAUGAACUCUAUCCUCUGUACCGGAACUAACGUGGAUUUUUUGUCAUUCACCAACAGGCCGAGGCGGCGGCACUUGGCUAGCAGCACCGCAAUGUCCCCUUGGACCUGGAGUUGUCCUUGACAAACCAGUCGUCGAGAUACGGGUAGAUCUGGAUAUCCCAACAUCUGAGGGCGUGCCAGUCAAAAGGGAGGUCUUGCAUUGACUGCUGAGCCUCCAAGACCAGAGAGGAGCAGCCACGAAGCCCUGCGCAACAAGAUGGCCGAUGCUAUGGUAUGGGUGGCAGUGUUUUGCACUUAUCACUAAUGUGACCUUCGCCCAAGCACCGUAAACAACUAUUAUGUGGAUCGCUAAUAAGCAUGGGCCUUUUACAGCGAUCACAGGGUUUAAAACCAUCCCAAGGCGAAGUCCCUUUAGGGACCUACUAAGGGCACGUCUACACUACGAAAUUAGGUCGAAUUUAUAGAAGUUUAUUUUUAGGAAGCGAUUUUAUACAGUCAAUUGCGUGUGUCCCCACUAAGUGCAUUAAAUCGGCAGAGUGCGU